rnacentral:rRNA from 1 species
AUGAACGCUGGCGGCGUGCUUAACACAUGCAAGUCGAACGAUGAAGACCGUGCUUGCACGGUUGGAUUAGUGGCGAACGGGUGAGUAUCACGUGAGUAACCUUCCCUUGACUCUGGGAUAAGCCCGGGAAACUGGGUCUAAUACCGGAUACGACCAGUCCUCGCAUGGGGUGCUGGUGGAAAGAUUUAUCGGUCUUGGAUGGACUCGCGGCCUAUCAGCUUGUUGGUGAGGUAAUGGCUCACCAAGGCGAUGACGGGUAGCCGGCCUGAGAGGGUGACCGGCCACACUGGGACUGAGACACGGCCCAGACUCCUACGGGAGGCAGCAGUGGGGAAUAUUGCACAAUGGGCGAAAGCCUGAUGCAGCGACGCCGCGUGCGGGAUGACGGCCUUCGGGUUGUAAACCGCUUUCAGCAGGGAAGAAGCGAAAGUGACGGUACCUGCAGAAGAAGCGCCGGCUAACUACGU